GUCACUGAUGUGACCGUAGUAGCGUUGGAAGACUCUGUGGUCAAUGCAUCGGCACUUGCUGUGGAGGUCACUGAUGUGACCGUCGUAGCAUUGGAUGAUUCUGUAGUUGUAGCAUCGGCACUCGCUGUAGAGGUCUCUGAUGUGACCGUCGUAGCGUUUGAAGAUUCAGUAGUUGACGCCUC